AGCGAACGCUGGCGGCAGGCCUAACACAUGCAAGUCGAACGAGGUCUUCGGACUUAGUGGCGGACGGGUGAGUAACACGUGGGAACGUGCCCUUUGGUACGGAAUAACUCAGGGAAACUUGAGCUAAUACCGUAUGUGCCCUUCGGGGGAAAGAUUUAUCGCCAUUGGAGCGGCCCGCGUCUGAUUAGCUAGUUGGUGAGGUAAAGGCUCACCAAGGCGACGAUCAGUAGCUGGUCUGAGAGGAUGAUCAGCCACAUUGGGACUGAGACACGGCCCAAACUCCUACGGGAGGCAGCAGUGGGGAAUCUUGCGCAAUGGGCGAAAGCCUGACGCAGCCAUGCCGCGUGAAUGAUGAAGGUCUUAGGAUUGUAAAAUUCUUUCACCGGGGACGAUAAUGACGGUACCCGGAGAAGAAGCCCCGGCUAACUUCGUACCAGCCGCCGCCGUAACAC
rnacentral:rRNA from 1 species